GACGAACGCUGGCGGCGUGCUUAACACAUGCAAGUCGAACGGAGGAUUUAUUUCGGUAAAUCCUUAGUGGCGAACGGGUGAGUAACGCGUGGGCAACCAGCCCUUCAGGUCGGGACAACAUCCCGAAAGGGGUCCUAAUACCGAAUACGAUCAAGCUGCCGCAGGGCGGGGUGAUGAAAGAUGGCCACUGUUUACAAGCUAUAGACAAAGGAUGGGCCGGGGUCUGCUUAGGUAGUUGGGGGGGUACCGGCCUACGAAGGCGAUGAUCAGUAGCCGGUCUGAGAGGAUGAACGGCCACAUUGGGACUGAGACACGGCCCAAACUCCUACGGGAGGCAGCAGUGGGGAAUAUUCCGCAAUGGACGAAAGUCUGACGGAGCAACGCCGCGUGAGUGAUGAAGGUUUUCGGACUGUAAAACUCUGUUGUUUAGGACGAAAGUGCCUGUUGCAAACAGUUGCAGGUAUUGACGGUACUGAACGAGGAAGCCACGGCUAACUACGUGCCAGCAGCCGCCGUAACAC
rnacentral:rRNA from 1 species